UACAGAGGGGGCAAGCGUUGUUCGGAAUUACUGGGCGUAAAGGGCGCGUAGGCGGCCUUCUAAGUCGAACGUGAAAUCCCCGGGCUCAACCCGGGAACUGCGUCCGAUACUGGAAGGCUUGAAUCCGGGAGAGGGAUGCGGAAUUCCAGGUGUAGCGGUGAAAUGCGUAGAUAUCUGGAGGAACACCGGUGGCGAAGGCGGCAUCCUGGACCGGUAUUGACGCUGAGGCGCGAAAGCGCGGGGAGCAAACAGG
rnacentral:rRNA from 1 species